rnacentral:rRNA from 1 species
CCUACGGGAGGCAGCAGUGGGGAAUAUUGCGCAAUGGGCGAAAGCCUGACGCAGCGACGCCGCGUGAGGGAUGAAGGUCUUCGGAUCGUAAACCUCUGUCAGCAGGGAAGAACUUUCCCUUUUCUCCUCCGCCGUGCCUUGCCGGUCCCUGCCCCGGCCGCCCCGGCUCCCUCCGUGCCCGCCGCCGCGGUCAUACUUAGGGUGCGCUCGUUAAUCGUCCUUACUUUUCGUACCUCUCUCUUCUUCUUUAUUUCAAGUCAAUUUUGCCCUCCCCGCGCUCAACGUGGGCCCUGCCUUUGAAACUGGCAAACUGGAGUGUGUGAGAGGAUAGUGGAAUUCGAGGUGUAGGAGUGAAAUCCGUAGAUAUCUGGAGGAACAUCAGGGGCGAAGGCGACUAUCUGGCACAUAACUGACGCGGAGGAGCGAAAGCGUGGGUAGCAAACAGGAUGAGAUACCCCAGUAGUC